UGUAAAUGUCCGUGAUGGAGGGGAGAGAGACGCCGAUGAUCCUCUCAGCUGUCCUCACAAUACGCUGGAGGGUCUUGCGGUCAGAGACGGUGCAGGUCCCAAACCAGGCAGUGAUGCAGCUGCUCAGGAUGCUCUCAAUGGUCCCUCUAUAGAAGAGUGUGAGGAUGGGUGGAGGGAGACGGGCCUUUCUCAGCUUCCGGAGGAAGUAGAGACGCUGCUGGGCUUUCUUGGCUGUAGAGCUGGUGUUCAGGGUCCAGGUGAGGUUAUCUGCUAAGUGGACACCAAGGAACUUGGUGCUCUUUAAUAUUUUCAGUUGCCGAAUUCUGAUUGGAUCAGUAGUAUUUUCAGAAUCUGUUGCUACUAAUAGACCCUUCAUUUUGUAUGCAAUUCUGUGAAGCAUUUGCUAUUUUAAUGCUAUUUUUAUACACUAUAUUUUAAAUGUAUUUUGUGCUGCUCCGCAUUGCUGUGUUUGAUGAUGUAAGGUUUGGAUAGAUUUAAGCAGCUCAAGCUUGUAAACUCUUGUAAGUUGGAGGUGUGUAGUGAUGAACUCUGAAGCUACAUGAAGUUUGGAGGUGUGUAGUGAUGAACUCUGAAGCUACAUGAAGUUUGGAGGUGUGUAGUGAUGAUGAACUCUGAAGCUACAUGAAGUUUGGAGGUGUGUAGUGAUGAACUCUGAAGCUACAUGAAGGUUGGAGGUGUGUAGUGAUUGAUGAACUCUGAAGCUACAUGAAGUUUGGAGGUGUGUAGUGAUGAUGAACUCUGAAGCUACAUGAAGUUUGGAGGUGUGUAGUGAUGAUGAACUCUGAAGCUACAUGAAGUUUGGAGGUGUGUAGUGAUGAUGAACUCUGAAGCUACAUGAAGGUUGGAGGUGUGUAGUGAUGAACUCUGAAGCUACAUGAAGUUUGGAGGUGUGUAGUGAUGAUGAACUCUGAAGCUACAUAAUGGUUGGAGGUGUGUAGUGAUGAACUCUGAAGCUACAUGAAGUUUGGAGGUGUGUAGUGAUGAACUCUGAAGCUACAUAAUGGUUGGAGGUGUGUAGUGAUGAUGAACUCUGAAGCUACAUGAAGGUUGGAGGUGUGUAGUGAUGAACUCUGAAGCUACAUGAAGUUUGGAGGUGUGUAGUGAUGAUGAACUCUGAAGCUACAUGAAGUUUGGAGGUGUGUAGUGAUGAUGAACUCUGAAGCUACAUGAAGGUUGGAGGUGUGUAGUGAUUAGUGUAGUGACUCUGCAGAAAGUUGGUGAACUCUGUACACUAUGCUCCUCAGCAUCCGCUGUAGUUCCCAUUCUCUUCCACUGUGUUAUAAUAUCACUGACAGUUGGCUGUGGAAUAUUUAGUAGUGAGUAGUGAGGAAAUUUCACGACUGGACUUGUUGCACAGGUGAAGUUCAUUGAGCUCCCGAGACCCAUUCUUUCACUAAUGUUUGUAGAAGCAGUCCCAGCAUGCCUAGCUGCUGCUUUUAUUAUAUACCUGUGGCCACACAAGUGAUUAAGGAACAUCUUAAUUGAAUGAUUUGGAUAGGUGAUGAUAUAGUGUAUCAUCAAAAUGUCUUUAAUCAUUAUGGUAUACAUUUUUAUGUUAUUUUUAUACCGGAUCCUUAGUGGAAUGGAUUCAGUGUGUAAAUCUAUUAUUAACACAUCAUUAGUCCUGCGUUCACUCAGAGCCAUCAUGAUGUUCGGUGACCUUCACGAUGUCCACAGACACUUAUUAUACAUCCUACACAGAGACUACACAUCAUAAUCUGUGUAAUGUGUAGUGAUUUAGUCGUGUAAAUGCUGUUUAAACUCUGUACUGGCUUUAGUACAGUUUGUAAUGAUGUUAUUUUAUAUACAAUCAAGAGGAAGAUGGAUGAUCACAAGCCAUCAAACCACCAAACUGAACUGCUUGAACUUUUGCACCAGGAGUAAAGCAGCAUAAAGUUAUCCAAAAGCAGUGUGCAAGACUGGUGGAGGAGAACAUGAUGCCAAGAUGCAUGAAAACUGU